UAGCUUUUAUUUCACAGCAGCUGCAGCUUAAAAACUACAAUACCUCACUCCCAAACACACCCUUAAUUAAAGUACUACUAAACCGACACGAACUGUUAGAAAAAUUCAUUAGGAAUUUGGAAUGCAAGUUUCGGAAUAUCCUUCAUCAGUCACUACCACAUCUUUCGCCUGCUUUCUCAGCACUUUCGCAUUCUUUUUUCCAUUGAAUACCUUAUCACUCAUUUCUCAUCUUUCUUUCACUUUUUGACUACUUACAGUAAAACAUCAUUGACUUGACGCCAGCGGCCAGACACCACCUGUUGCUAUUCAGGGGAAGUGGCCUGUGCCGAGAGUAAUUUCGUCUAUUAUCCUGUCACAAUAGACUCUACGUUCCGGUGUGGUCCGCAUAUAUACGGACGAGACAGGUCCAGCUAUCUUGUCCGGACGAGAUCAAAGUAUUUUCACUAUGAAUCAAGGGUUACAGAAUCAAAAUUUGGUUCUACGGAAUAGGGAGAAAAAAAAAAACAUAAUAAACUUUAGGAAGUCAAAAUAAUAAAUAUAUAAACUUAAAAGAUUCACACAUAAAAUUUUUAAAGAAAUAGGUUAAAUUUCAACGAAGACCUUUAUCUUUCAUUGAUUUUUGUCCGGUCUCGGGUUGUGGCCGCCCAAGCCCCAACGUAGGUCUCACUGGUACAUACAAACAAUAUCUGGAUUUGAUUUUUCUCAGAAACAAUGCGUCAAUCUUCAACACUGUGUUGGAAGCUUCCACUUUCUAACUGUUUUUUUUUUUUAAGAAAAGGUUUUAAUUUCAAUUGUUAGACUUCAAGUCCGUAGCGCUA
rnacentral:lncRNA from 1 species